UGUAAGCGUAUACCAAAGUUGUUGCAGUUAAAACGCUCGUAGUCGGAAUUUGGCAGUUCCGGAUGUGUGCACGUCGUGUGCGCACUUCGCGGGGAUUGCUUUUGUGGUCUUGCGUAGGAUGAGGCACUUUUAUUAGUGAACGUCCUCACGCAACCACUUUUUACUGUGAGAAAAUCAGAGUGCUCAAAGCAGGCAUUUGCCGUGAAUGUAUUAGCAUGGAAUAAUAGAAUAGGACUUGGUUCUAUUUUGUUGGUUUGUUGGGACUGAGUAAUGAUUAAGAGGGACAGUUGGGGGCAUUUGUAUUUCGGUGCUAGAGGUGAAAUUCCUAGAUUACCGAAAGACAAACUGCUGCGAAAGCGUCUGCCAAGGAUGUUUUCAUUGA
rnacentral:rRNA from 1 species